GCCUGGGUGGCUCAGUCAGUUGAGCGUCUGACUUCGGCUCAGGUCAUGAUCUCUCACACUGUGAGUUUGAGCCCCAUGUCAGGCU
rnacentral:tRNA from 1 species